rnacentral:rRNA from 1 species
AGAGUUUGAUCAUGGCUCAGAACGAACGCUGGCGGCAGGCUUAACACAUGCAAGUCGAACGCGUGUAGCAAUACACGAGUGGCGCACGGGUGAGUAACACGUGGAUUAUCUGCCUCUUGGUUCGGAAUAACCCCGGGAAACUGGGGCUAAUACCGAAUGGUUCCUACGGGAUAAAGAUUUAUCGCCAAGAGAUGAGUCCGCGUCCGAUUAGCUAGUUGGUGGGGUAACGGCCUACCAAGGCGACGAUCGGUAGCUGGUCUGAGAGGACGAUCAGCCACACUGGGACUGAGACACGGCCCAGACUCCUACGGGAGGCAGCAGUGGGGAAUAUUGGACAAUGGGGGCAACCCUGAUCCAGCCAUGCCGCGUGAGUGAUGAAGGCCUUCGGGUUGUAAAGCUCUUUUGGCGGGGACGAUGAUGACGGUACCCGCAGAAUAAGCCCCGGCUAACUUCGUGCCAGCCGCCGCGGUAAUAC